UUCAACCAAUAAAACCCCUAUAUAGAGGGAAAGAACAAGAAGCUUACCUCUUAGAAACUUUAAAUCAAGCUCUAAAAGCUCUAAGUCCCAAGAUCUUCCCUCCACAAAGCUCCAAUCCCAAGCUCUUGGCUUCAACCAUGGAGGAAAAGCACCAAAAAGGGAAAAAGAGAGAGGUUAAUCCAAGAAAAACCCAAAAGAGAGGGACCAAACCCAAAGAAAUGAAGGGGAGGGUGCCCUACCUUCUCCUCCCUGUGCUCUGAGCUCAGGAGGUGCCCUAAGGGGCGUGGGUGCUAAAUAGAUUAGGCACAAACGCGGAAAACCCCCUGCAGUUCAAACUGCAUGAAAUCUGCCUCCUUGUACCGGUACACGGGCUCUUGUACCGGUACAAGGCCGACGAAAUUGCAAACCCGAGGCUCGGGUCGCGCGGUCUGCGGCUCUGUACCGGUACAAGCCCGAUGGCUGUACCGGUACAACCAUCAACCCUUGUACCGGUACAAGGCCAGUCUUGUUCCGGUACAAGCCCUGCUGCAGGCUACCCGAGAGCUGUCCAAAAAUUNN
rnacentral:lncRNA from 1 species